rnacentral:rRNA from 1 species
GACGAACGCUGGCGGCGUGCUUAACACAUGCAAGUCGAACGGAAAGGCCCUGCUUUUGUGGCGUGCUCGAUUGGCGAACGGGUGAGUAACACGUGAGUAACCUGCCCUUGACUUUGGGAUAACUUCAGGAAACUGGGGCUAAUACCGGAUAGGAGCUCCUGCUGCAUGGUGGGGGUUGGAAAGUUUCGGCGGUUGUGGAUGGACUCGCGGCUUAUCAGCUUGUUGGUGGGGUAGUGGCUUACCAAGGCUUUGACGGGUAGCCCGCCUGAGAGGGUGACCGGCCACAUUGGGACUGAGAGACGGACCAGAAUCCUACGGGAGGCAGUAGUGGGGAAUAUUGCAGAAUGGGCGGAAGCCUGAUGCAGCAACGCCGCGUGCGGGAUGACGGCUUUCGGGUUGUAAACCGCUGUCGCAUGUGACGAAGCGUGAGUGACGGUAAUGGGUAAAGAAGCAACGGCUAACUACGUG